UAGGAUUUAGGUUAAACAAACCAGUUUCCUUCAAAGCAACAAAUAGAUUCUAAAGCAGUCUAAUCCUAA
rnacentral:tRNA from 1 species